AUUGAACGCUGGCGGCAGGCCUAACACAUGCAAGUCGAGCGAGCGGCGGACGGGUGAGUAAUGUAUGGGGACUGCCCGAUAGAGGGGGAUAACUACUGGGAACGGUAGCUAAUACCGCAUACUAUCGGAAAACCCAUAGGUGAUUAGCUAGUUGGUGAGGUAAUGGCUCACAAAGGCGACGAGCCCUAGCUGGUCUGAGAGGCUGAUCAGCAACACUGGGACUGAGAAACGGCCCAGACUCCUACGGAGGCAGCAGUGGGGAAGAUUGCACAAUGGGCGCAAGCCUGAUGGAGCCAUGCCGCGUGAAUGAAGAAGGCCCUAGGGUGGUAAAGUACUUUCAGUCGGGAGGCGUUACCGACACAGGAAGCACCGGCUAACUCCGUGCCAGCAGCCGCGGUAAUAC
rnacentral:rRNA from 1 species